CGCACUAUAGCCAAGUGGUUACGGUGACAGAUUCGGAGUCCCACAUUAUCUGCUCCUCUUUGAGGGCGCAGCUUCAAAUCCUGCUGGCGUCG